GAGGAGGAGGAGAAACAGGAGGGGGGAGGGGAGGGAGGGAAGGAGGUGCUGUUUGUAGAGCCAGCUUUCGGGGAAGAGCAGACCGGGCUGCCUAUGUCAGGUUGGGGCAUGUCUCCCACCCGGGUCUCAGGGAGCCCUUUGCUAGGGGACCAAGCUUUGUCUCUGUGGGAGCUGCUGGAGACGCUCUGAGUGGCUGCCUGAAGAUUUGCUGAAGAAGCCUCGGAUUGGCACGAUUUCAUGGGAAGGAAAGAGAGGACGAGGCUCUUCCACUGCUCUACUGACCACGGCCACACACGGCAGUCAUUGCAGGCGGGAAGUUACCACCUUGCCCUUUCACGGUGAGGAAGUGUGGGGGAAGCCAGGGAGCCCCUAAGCCACUUGGGGCAAGGGUGGGGGUUCAGCCAGGG
rnacentral:lncRNA from 1 species